UAAAGAAUACCCGAUGGGUAUGAGCAUGGGAUUCAAUUUGUGUCCAUGGGCAUUGAUGUGGGUGGUUAUUAAAAGUUCUUGUGGGUAUGGGCUUGGGCAGGAUGGAGAUGAUAGAUACACUAGAUUAAAAUCUAUAUGUAUGUCCGAGAAGACAUUGCGAGUUUGGUACCAAAGAAAGUUGAGAAAAUAUAUCUACGACAUGGACAUGAUGCACUUUUAUUGAUGUCAAAACCCUUAUCUCCCAUCGGAAGCGAUCGGCCGAUAUAUCCAUGGCACGGACACGAUGCACCUUCAUUGAUGUGAAAACUCUUAUCUCCCAUCGGGCGCGAUUGUCCGACAAAAUUCACGACAAUGACGUAACCGGCAAACCUGAAAUAGUUAUUUAGUUUGCUUGAUCAAUAUUAUCUUUUAGAUUUUUGAACUUUCCAACAUAUGUUAUCUGUACACAUUUGGAAAUAUAUGAAUGUAUUAUAAAAUGCAAUGCAAUUACGAGGUGAGUGUGGAUACAUAUCUUAAAUUUCUAGGAAUUUUCUACGAAUUUUCAUUUAGAAUGCAGGGUGGGCUACACUCACAAAAUGAAUUCUAACCCAGGAAUAAAAAUUACACGCGGUUAUGGAAUAGAAAACACCUAUAGUACUAAAGAAUUGGAACCGGUUCUUCAGAGAAUUCCGCCUCUAGUACUCCUAAUGUUGGAGGUGGUUUAGAG
rnacentral:lncRNA from 1 species